AUCCAGCUGACAAGACCCAAAUAGGACGAAACGCGCGUUCUCGAU
rnacentral:hammerhead_ribozyme from 1 species